rnacentral:tRNA from 2 species
GGGUGAUUAGCUCAGCUGGGAGAGCACCUCCCUUACAAGGAGGGGGUCGGCGGUCCGAUCCCGUCAUCACCCACCA